rnacentral:rRNA from 1 species
GAUGAACGCUGGCGGCGUGCCUAAUACAUGCGAGUCGAGCGAACAGAUGAGGAGCUUGCUCCUCUGACGUUAGCGGCGGACGGGUGAGUAACACGUGGAUAACCUACCUAUAAGGCUGGGAUAACUUCGGGAAACCGGAGCUAAUACCGGAUAAUAUAUUGAACCGCAUGGUUCAAUAGUGAAAGACGGUUUUGCUGUCACUUAUAGACGGAUCCGCGCCGCAUUAGCUAGUUGGUAAGGUAACGGCUUACCAAGGCAACGAUGCGUAGCCGACCUGAGAGGGUGAUCGGCCACACUGGAACUGAGACACGGUCCAGACUCCUACGGGAGGCAGCAGUAGGGAAUCUUCCGCAAUGGGCGAAAGCCUGACGGAGCAACGCCGCGUGAGUGAUGAAGGUCUUCGGAUCGUAAAACUCUGUUAUUAGGGAAGAACAAAUGUGUAAGUAACUAUGCACGUCUUGACGGUACCUAAUCAGAAAGCCACGGCUAACUACGUG